AUCUACCUGAAAGAUCAAAAUUUAAUUCUUUGUCUUUUCCAUAUAUGAAAUAGGAACGUAGAAGCAUUUCAAUGCAUUCUCUAAUUGCUGCUGCUGAUAUGUGCUGAUUAACAUGCAUGUAGGAAAUAAAAAUGUGCUGAUGUCUUUUGCCAUAUAUGAAAUAGGAUUGUAGAAGCAUGUCAAUGUAUUCUCUGAAACUACUUAUCAAAAAAAAAAUGUAUUCAGCUGCUGAUAUCUGCCAAAGAACAUGCAUAUGUCGGCAUUUUUAAAUUGUGGAACUCAAUAUAAAGUUGUUCAAUGAUUUAUGAUCUAUUGAGCCCAGAUGAACAUCUUACAUUUUAAUAUUAUUGCUGACAUAGUAUAAAUUCACACACACACACACAAAUAAAUUGAUGAAUUACAAAAAGUUGGGUUAGGGGAGUUCCGUUUCGAACCUGAAACUGCAUCCUGGAUGAUGCUACCUCUUUGAAACUGACCUGAUCUAAAAAUGGAGAAUGCAGAUCACUGGUUUGUCUGACUGAUCUACUUGCUGACCGCCUCCAUUAAUCUCAGUUCUGAAAGAUUAAAAGUCAAAAUCUUGAUAAUCAAAAUGGAAGGAAAUCUAAGGUACCCCAAACACUAUAAACAUUCAAAAAAAGAAAAAAAAAGGCUUAAACUCAAUUGCCUUAUUUAAAGGAAACCUGAUGCUAUCAAUCAGUGUUCUCCAGGUUGAGCAAUGAUCUAGCACACCAACAGCCAUUCUUGUGUAAAUCUGCAUUUUCAAGAAGGCUGUCUGUCCGCAAUGGAUCUGAUCUGAAAUUGGAUAACAUGGGUUGACCAGUCUAUCUGAUCUUUCUAGACGCCAAGUCCCAUUACUCAAUCUCAGAUCUGAAGGACCAAAAACUUAUGAACAAUCAAUUAUUGAUAAUAGAAAUGGGAAAAGACUACAAAUCAAAGAAAAACACAUAAAAAACAUUGAAGAAAACAAAAAACUUAAUCCCAAUCGCCUCAAUAGAAGGGUUACACUGAUACUAUUGCUGAAGCAUUCAAAUCACACAAUUUUGAGUGUAUAGAGAGAGAUGAAUAGAUCUGAUAUGUGGAGGAACUCAUAAGUGAACAGAAAUGGAGUUAGAAGAUUGGCUAUUGGAAUAAACAUGAAGAUUUGUCUUCCAGUGGCCAUAGAUUUUCUAUAGCUCUAGGGUUUUUUAUGGCCUCCAAUAAUGUGUGGCGGCGUGGGAAUUGAAACGAGGAUGUCAGAUGACAACUCUAGCUAUUUAAGGAGAAUUAAAAAGUGAUAUUAAAAAUUAGCCUUGUAAACCCGCUUAAUUGCGUGGCUUCAUGUUUGAAUACCUUUCCAUGUUUGUAGAGGGUAGAAUGACUAGGAUUAUUUAGAUUGCCAAUUGCCAAACCUUAAAGCAAAUCAAAUUUUAGAUUGAGCUUCGCAACAAAAGCGAGUAUGUUUUCAAAUGGUGUUCCACAUGGAUGGUGUAUGAACAAUUACAACCCUUAUAUGGUAUAUGUAUCUUUAUCCUUGUCUUUAGAUUUGCUAGAAUUUCCUUGUUCAACAUCUUGUAUGGUUGUUGAAUUUUGAAAUUGCUAUCAUGGAUAUAAAGUAAGGUCGUCUAGUUGUUUUUGGUAAAAACAAAUUUCAAAGACAUUUAUUGAAUGGAUCUUGGUAAAUAUAGGAUAUCAGCCAUGAGGAAAUAUAGGUGAUGAGACUUGAGGAAGAGGAAAAGGCAGAGAAAGGUAGAAGGAGGGAAUAUGGUGGGGGUUGUAGUGUUGGUGGUGUUUGGUUUAUGACAGACUAAGAGGACAACAAUAAGAAUGAGUGGAAAUGAUCCCCAAAUUGGGAUAGGGCAUUAAGGACCACUUUGAAGGGAGUUAAGGAGGUAGGCUCAAGAGCUGUUAGGAGGCCAAAGUCCAAAGUAUCCCUUUUUUUAUCAUUGUGCACAUUGGGUGGGGGUGGGGGUGUUGGUGGUGUUUGGUUUAUGAUGGACUGUGAGAAAAGCAGGAAGAAUGAGUGGAAAUGAUCUCCAUGGGGAUGGGGCAUUAAGGAGCACUUUGAAGAGGACUUGAGGAGAUAAACUUAAGAGCUCUUAGGAGACUAAAGUCCAAAAUAUCCCUUUGUUAUUAUUAUGCACAAAUGAACCAUUGGGCCCUUUUUGUAGAGAGCCAAUGUUGAAACCAUUAGUCUAUCAAACCUAGCAAUGACAAACCUUCAUAGACCUAUAUGCUUAAAAAUUGAUUUAGAUUCGGAAAAUCAAGCAAAAUUUAAAUUUUUUUGUUUUGAUACAAUCAUAAUUGACCACAAUGAUCGAGCGAUUAGAAAGAAAUUCUAGCUGCGGAAUAAAAGAAAUUAGUAAAAAAGUCCCUCAAUGGUCAUACAAAUUAAUCAACAAUUUAGAAGAAGAGGAAGGAGAAAUGGUUUGUUCGUCAAUCACAACUUUCCUUUCUUUAAUCCUAGUUGAAGCAGGUUUGACCCUUGUUGGACGUAUCCCUCCUUGAUGAACCUCAACUUUUAUCUGCCAUUGUCAACUUGUCUUAAAGAACUUGGUGGUGGGAAGGCCAUACACUAUUAGGGUGCACCAAACCCAUGUAAUCCUCCUUCUAACUUGGUCAUGCUUAAUAGCAUCAAGUUGCCCCAUCCUAAGUGAGACAUUACUAAGAGAGUAUGGAGACAACAUAUGGAGGACAUGAGUAGAAUAAACUAGGAAAAAAAUCAACUUCUCAUGGGAAAGUGCACACUAAGACCACUCCUAAGAAUGAUAUGGUCAUUGCUAUGUUGUUGGUGUGAGGAUUUAUGUUAGUAUCGCCUAAGUGGGGGUCAAUUCGACAAUGACACAUCACUAUGAGGGGUCAGAAUGACACGACCCAUGUAAGGGUCAAUUCAACACCACCUCAACAGGCGGGUUUUGAGUUGACGCCACUAUCAUUAGGAGGGUCAUGUCUAUGGAGGCUCUUAAGGGGUCACCUCCACAAACUAAGAAGGGUGACCCCUUUCCUUGCUUAAUGCAUGGGGAGGAAGAAUGGUACUUUACUCAGCAGGUAUCCUCCUAUUUGGAGGUGAUAGGCACAUCACUUGAAAUUUCCACAGGCAAGCACCUACAAUAUAGUCAUCUAUUACUAACCAUACUGUUCAUGAUUUCUAGCUUAACAUACGGUAUAUUGGUGUUGAGUGCGUGUGUGGUGAUGCAAGAGACUUGGGUUGCAUGAAUAGAGAAUUAUCUGGUAGAUGUGAUGAUGUACUGUAGGUUGUCUAACAUGUCGCAUCAGCACAUAUGAUAUGGGUACAUAAGUCUAUUUGAGUGCAAAAUUGGACAUUAAGAAUAUUGAAAACAACUCAAUAGUAAAAAAAAUCCUAUGCACCUUGAAUAUAUAUUUUUUAACAAAAAAAAUCUAAUCCUAAAAGGAACUUGUGUCAAUACCAAAAUCAAGAUAUUGUAAAUGCCAAAUUUCCUAAUCUAAUUGAUCUUUGGGAAUCUUUGUUUUCAUUAAAAUUCAACAUCAUGAAAGAAAAAACUCGUUUUCAAAAUUUUCUUUCUAUUCGCAAAUAUUCUAUAUAUUCAUAUGCGCCUAACCAAAAAAAAGAGAGGAUGGAUUGGGGUGGCUGCAUGGUAGGGGCUGCCUAGGACCACAAGAAGUAUAUAGGAGGACUGAAAAUAAAAACAAUGUUGCAAAAACCAUCUACUCCAAACCUUUCAAAUCUCUUGGUCCUUGUAGAUGAAUCUUAUACAUGGUGGAGAGAGAUGAUUGACCAUCUCUUUCGAUAUUAUCCAAUAAUUGUGGGGCUAUGGCAUAAUCUGUUCAAACAAGCCUGGAUGGAUUGGGUCAGCCUAGGAGCAUAUGUAACAUGAUGAUCAUUUCAUAUGCGGAUUUGUGGAGCUCCUUUAGAGGCAACGCCUUUUAGCAAAUCUCAUCUUAGAUUGCUUUUGAUUGUGUGACGAAAGAGAAAUGUUAGGAUAUUUAAGGAUAAGUGAAGGGGAGGACGUUGGAGACAUUGUAGGAUUUACUAUACUUCUAUUCCUCUUUUUGGGUCUCUUGUAUUGACGCUUUCGAAGGCAUUUCCUUCAAUGUUAUUCAACUUAAUUGGCAUUCGAUGUGUUUGAACAACAAUGAGAGGAGCUUAGUCCGAGUUUGAGGAGGUGAUAUUAUGUAUAUUCCUUUGUGGUCUAAACCAUUUUGUAUAGGUCUCUUUGUUAAGUGGAGGAGUUUAGUUAUAUUUUGAUAAGGUUUUUUGUAAUUGUGAGGAUGAUUUCUUAUUCUUUUCAUGUAUUUUUUUUUAUCUAUAAUUGAUACAUUUUUGUUUC